rnacentral:rRNA from 1 species
UACGUAGGGUGCAAGCGUUGUCCGGAAUUAUUGGGCGUAAAGAGCUCGUAGGCGGUCUGUCGCGUCGGAUGUGAAAACCCAGGGCUUAACCCUGGGCCUGCAUUCGAUACGGGCAGACUAGAGUUCGGUAGGGGAGACGUGGAAUUCCUGGUGUAGCGGUGAAAUGACGCAGAUAUCAGGAGGAACACCGGUGGCGAAGGCGGGUCUCUAGGCCGACACUGACGCUGAGGAGCGAAAGCGUGGGGAGCGAACAGG